UACAGAGGGUGCAAGCGUUGCUCGGAUUUACUGGGCGUAAAGCGUACGCAGACGGUAAGGAAGGUCGGAUGUGAAAGCCCCCGGGCUCAACCUGGGAAUUGCAUUCGAGACUGCAUGGCUAGGGUGCGGAAGAGGGAAGCGGAAUUUCCGGUGUAGCGGUGAAAUGCGUAGAUAUCGGAAGGAACACCAGUGGCGAAAGCGGCUUCCUGGUCCAGCACCGACGUUCAGGCACGAAAGCGUGGGGAGCAAACAGG
rnacentral:rRNA from 1 species